rnacentral:tRNA from 1 species
GGGCGGUUAGCUCGGUUGGUUGAGCAUGGUGCUGACAAUGCCAAGUCUGUGGGUUCGAUUCCCAUUCGGACCC